CACCACGGUUUAAAAGCAUCAAUUCUACUUCCUGUCCUAGUCCCAGAGCCUGUAAAGGUGAACCCACUGGGGCUGGCUGGUGGAGAAGAGGAAAGCUCGUUCCAGAGGGAACUGUCUGAGGGAU
ensembl:snoRNA SNORD22 Small nucleolar RNA SNORD22